rnacentral:misc_RNA from 1 species
GUAGGUGAACCUGCGGAAGGAUCAUUAUCAUUUUGAUCUAAUCCUAAACAAACCGCGAACUGUUCAUUUUUGUUGUUCUUCGGAACGGCAAAAAUACCUUGAGUGCUCUAUCGGAGGAAUUUGAUUAAGGGGUGAUUCAUUUCUCUCUUUUUUCUUACUUCUCUUUUUAGAGUGCUUUUAACCAAUUGAACCAAAUUUAAUGUAUGACUGAAUUAUUCUUUUUCUUACCUAACCUAAAAAAUUAGGAAGA